AUUGAACGCUGGCGGAAUGCUUUACACAUGCAAGUCGAACGGUAGAGGGGGCAACCCCUCGAGAGUGGCGAACGGGUGAGUAAUAUAUCGGAACGUGCCCAGUCGUGGGGGAUAACGUAGCGAAAGUUACGCUAAUACCGCAUACGAUCUAAGGAUGAAAGCGGGGGAUCGCAAGACCUCGCGCGAUUGGAGCGGCCGAUAUCAGAUUAGGUAGUUGGUGGGGUAAAGGCCCACCAAGCCAACGAUCUGUAGCUGGUCUGAGAGGACGACCAGACACACGGGAACUGAGACACGGUCCAGACUCCUACGGGAGGCAGCAGUGGGGAAUUUUGGACAAUGGGCGAAAGCCUGAUCCAGCCAUUCCGCGUGCAGGAUGAAGGCCCUCGGGUUGUAAACUGCCUUUGUACAGAACGAAAAGGUGUCUACUAAUACUAGGAGCUCAUGACGGUACUGUAAGAAUAAGCACCGGCUAACUACGUGCCAGCCGCCGCCGUAA
rnacentral:rRNA from 1 species